CCAGGAACCACAUUUGCAUUAACCUCGGUAUAUAAAGCAUGCUGAGGUCGUGUCACGUCAUUUCAGGCUCUUCUGUGCCAAGCAGAGGAGCUGCUCUGUGCCCAACUUAGAAAACUGGAAGAGGCCGCAACCUUCCGCUUGCUGGAGACUGGAGGAUGGAUGGAGCCUGGAGCCUGGGACACUACCUCGCUGCGGUUGGUGGUGGCGAGAGAGCAGUAGGAGGGCAGCCGGCAGCAGGAGCUUCUCCUGCUGGGCUGGAGGACUAGAACGAAGAGGAACCGCCACAUGCUGGAGGCUGGAGCCUGUGCCACCGUGGCUUACCUCGCUGUGGUUGGUGGUGACGUCAGAGACUGCAGCUCGGCCACAGUGGUAGAAAUGUGAUGGGCUUUGCCUGCCCAGCUGCUCCAAGCCAGGCUGCAGGAGGAGAAGGAGGAGUCGCCAGUGGUAUGGUCGAGCAGAUGACAUGGCUCUGAAACUUGCCUCAUGAAGUUGGUGGUAGAGAUGGAGACUGCAGCUCAACUGGAGCGGCACAGAAUGAAGCGACCCAGGUCAUCGCUGUCCUAGAGCUGCCCCCGCUGACUUUGUCUUUUCUUCUUGGCUGGUAUCUACACCUGACACACACCGGUUAAUUUAUGUGUAGGUCUGUAUGUUUAUUGCAGCACUAUUCACAAUAGAAAAGACUUGGAACCAACCCAAAUGUCCAUCAAUGAUAGACUGGAUUAAGAAAAUGUGGCACAUAUACUCCAUGGAAUACUAUGCAGCCAUAAAAAAGGAUGAAUUCAUGUCCUUUGCAGGGACAUGGAUGAAGCUGGAAACUAUCACAAGGACAGAAAACCAAACACUGCAUGUUCUCACUCAUAAGUGGGAAUUGAACAAUGAGAACACUUGGACACAGGGUAGGGAACAUCACACACCAGGGCCUGUCAGGGAGAUGGGGGGCUGGGGGAGGGAUAGCAUUAGGAGAAAUACCUAAUGUAAAUAACGGGUUGAUGGGUGCAACAAGCCAACAUGGCACAUGUAUACCUAUGUAACAAACCUGCGCGUUGUGCACAUGUACCCUAGAACUUAAAGUAUAAAAAAAAAAAAUACGUGUACGUGAAGCCAGGGGUGUGAACUCUGUCCUGGUCCUGCACCGAGCUACUCCUAGAUCUUGGGCAGGUUCCACUCCUGCAGGCGCCUGGCCCCGCGCCUCCCCGCAGGCUCCUGGCCCUGCCCCGGCCCCGUCCUGCCCACAUCACAAGGCUCAAGGCAGGCGGCGGGCGAUUCCCAGGUUAGUCAACAGGGGGCGCACGGGGCAGUCUGGCCCGGAGGCCCUCGCUGAAAUCAGCACAGCAGGAAGGAGGGUGACACUGCCCUCCUAUGCAGGUCAAACUACUAACAAAUGAUGUGGCUGGAGAAUACUUGACAGCACGAUGACAAAACACGUCAGUAUAAAAUAAGAUCAUGAAGCAUGCUGUGCCCAGCUCUGCGAUUAGUUCACAGUAUUUUACAGGGCGUUGUUUCCAAAUGCUCAGGAAACACCAGCUACCUGUAAUAAAGCGUGACAUGCACCUUUGUCAACACUCAGCACAGCUUUGCAAUAAUGGCCCAGCCUGAUCUUCACGUUGGAGGUGAGGACAUAGGCCCUGGAGGGUUCAAGUGGCAAGGUCACAGAAGUGGUCACAGGGGACCACAGCCCCCGCUGCCUGGACUGCCCCAAGCUCUGGAUCUGUAACUCCUGGCUUGCUCCCCACUUGCCUGCCUGACCACAGCUUCGAGGCCUCUGAAAAGCCUGGCAAGGUGGGCAAAAGGUCCCUGUGGUGUUGCCCCCAGGGGAGGGAUGGGCCAUGGAGCUUAGCUUGGAGGGAGGAUCUGGGACCUGCUGGAGGAAGCAGAGCCCUGGAGAGGGUGCAUCUCGGCCCUCACCCCGGUGAUGUGGAGAGCCUUGACUGCGGGGGCUGGGGAAAGUGGGCAGGCCCAGGGCAGUCGGGGAGCCACUUGCUCAGCAGGAGGGCCAGAGGGAGA
rnacentral:lncRNA from 10 species